rnacentral:lncRNA from 1 species
CUUCACAAAUCAUAGUCCCUCGAACUCAGAACCUCAGAAACGUCGGCCGGCGAUGCAAUUGGCAUCGACGGCGGCGGACCAUUCAAGAUGCAGAGGUACUCGCUAGAACCCUUUCUGUGAGGGCGAUAUAUACUCUCCCCCCCCCCCCCCCACUUACACUUCGCGCGCUGUCUGCUCUGAAGUUGGACUGUAUCGGCGCAGUUGAACGGCGUUGGAGGCGAGGACUUUCGUCGUCUUUAACUGUUAGAUCGUCGGCUCGCCGGAGUUUCAGUGCUGCGGUGCGUGUAUACGACGCGCGAAACUACGGAAAGGCGCCAAUUUUGAAUAUUCCCGGGUCGGACUUUCGCGGCCCGCAAUCUGUGUGGAGGCACCGGCCCAUCAUAUUUCCUCUAAUUUAAAUUGGGUCCGGGCCCAUCAAUUUUCCCGGGUUAACCCGCAUUUCCGUCACCGCCGUAGCUCAAGCUUGAAAUAUCGAGAGGACAAAUCUCAACGACGAGUGCCCCCGGCGAGCUACGCCCAAGUCAACCGGCGUCGUUAAAUCCGACAGUCAACUGACGAUGACGAAGAAGCCUUACAGUGGGGGCUUCGAAACCAACAUCAUCUUCAACAACAGUUGCGGGCAGGUACGCAUAGAUCCAAGGUAAAAGUACCUACUUUUCCCAGGAUUAGGUGUUGUCUCAAUGGUACUGGAACUUGGUAUGAAUGGGUGGAGUAGUCAUUGAUUAGGCAAUUUGACUCUCCAAGGAAAAAAUUAGUGUUUGAGAUGAUUGUUUUCGUUGUUAUUUGAAUGAAUGUGUAUGGUGCUGGUUUCCUUUCUUGUCAUGCAUUGUCUUCCCCCUUGCCAAUUAUCCCCUCCCGAAACCAAUCAAGUGCUUUGCUUAAUGCAAAGAAAAGCUCAUAAAGUUGUUGUCCCAACCACGAUUAUCAAAUCACCUCUUUAAUCCAUGUUCUUAACGAUCAUUCCCCCCUUUCUCCUGUUCUCUCUGCUUUAACUUGUAACUAGUUGAGCUUUUUCAUAAUUGCUUAUGGUUGAUGUGGAGGAAUUAAAACAGGGGUAGACACUCAUUUGCUGGACUUUGUCCCAUCAUGCUAGCUAAGUGGAUUCUUGAGUCUAAUGGAUUGAAUACUGAUGAAUAACUGAAUCAGACUCAGUUUUCCAAGGGUGGUUGACCCUCAAUAUGGUGAAUCCGGUAGUUUGGUUAUAGUUUGUUUUCUGAUCAUAGCAAAUUUAUAUCAUCACAACAUAGUAGUAGCCGAUCUCCUUGUCUUGGCAAUGCCUCCAGACAUACCCUUUUAUCCAAAGGGAAAACUAAGUUAACAAAUCCCUGUACUGUAUGCUGGUAUUUUUCAUUCUGUGAUUGCGAUUCAUUAUCUACACAUCAAACAUUAUCUCCUUGAAUCAUGCUCAUCUCUGACAUUAGUGUUUAGUCCCUUAACAGAUUGAGCUCAACUAGAAGAGGAGUUAAAUGGAAAAGAAGUGUUCUUGUGGACAAACUGAAAGGGGGGAGAAAUGGGUUCUUUGUACAAAAAGAAUUUGGUUGUCAUCAUGUUCUGCAAUUAUUAAGCCAAGAUUGGGGAAAGUGGGAUGAACUUUGUGGGUUUGUUUUUAUGGUCACAUGGCUUUGUUUAACACUAAAUGCAUGCGUGGAACUAUUCUCUGCCUUAACUUUUAAUCCUGUUAAAAAUCUUGUCAGCUUAAUCACACACAUCAUAGGUUGAAGGAGAAGAUUCGCUCUGAUUUUGCUCUAGGGACAGGUCUGUGUGUGAGGACAUUUCGUUCGAUAGCCGUAUGCUACUAGUAUUUCC